AUGUGUAUUCUAAUUUUUGCUCUGGUUUUAAGGCGCUGUACACAUGUGUAUUCUGAUUUUGCUCUGUUUUUAAGGCGCUCGUCUGUUUUUGUGAUAUCUCAUAUUUUUUUUGUGUAUUGAAUGUGUAAAGUUGUUGAUGUACACUUGUGAAUUAUGCAAAGUACUAAUUGCUGAGUUUUUUGUGUUAUUAUAGGAGACGUCGUAAACGAGGAAAGUGGAGAUGGAAGGUCGAUAAGGAUGAUUC
rnacentral:lncRNA from 1 species